rnacentral:rRNA from 1 species
GAUGAACGCUAGCGGGAGGCUUAACACAUGCAAGUCGUGGGGCAGCAUUAGGUAGCAAUACUUAGAUGGCAACCGGCGCACGGGUGAGUAACGCGUAUGCAACCUACCCAGUACAGGGGGAUAGCCCGGAGAAAUUCGGAUUAAUACCCCAUAAUGAUAUCAGAAGGCAUCUUUUGAUAUUUAAAGCUUCGGCGGUACUGGAUGGGCAUGCGUAAGAUUAGCUAGUUGGUAGGGUAACGGCCUACCAAGGCUCCGAUCUUUAGGGGUCCUGAGAGGGUGAUCCCCCACACUGGUACUGAGACACGGACCAGACUCCUACGGGAGGCAGCAGUGAGGAAUAUUGGUCAAUGGGCGCAAGCCUGAACCAGCCAUCCCGCGUGAAGGAAGAAUGCGCUAUGCGUUGUAAACUUCUUUUCCGGAGGAAUAAAAUCUUGUACGUGUACAGGACUGAAGGUACUCCGGGAAUAAGCAUCGGCUAACUCCGUGCCAGCAGCCGCAGUAAAAC